AAAAAUAAACAAUUAUUAAUAAUUGACAUUAUGUUUUGGCUCACAUAUAAACAAAAAUAUAUUUAUAAAGAUCAAAACAAAAAUAACAAUUUAUCUAUAUCAAAUUUAAAAAAGAACUUUUUAAAUAAGCAAAUUCUUCCUACGCAAUUUAAAUCAUUUUUUAAGAAGAAAGUAACAAGUUUAAUAUUAAUACACAUUAAAA
rnacentral:lncRNA from 1 species